GGGAAGCCGCCUGUGUCCCCGCGCAUCGCCCUUACCUUGCUCUCGAGAGGCCACGAUCCGGGCGGGCCGCGCGGGGCGCGUGGUGCGCGAGCGCGCGCGCGUGGGGCGGUAGAUGCUCUGCUUCCGGUCUCCCUGGGAAAGCUGCCUUUGAACUCUGAGGAUGAACCCAAGUGAAAGAAGUUUUCUUUCCCAGAUACUUCAAUAGUGAUGAGUUAAUGCAGUGAAUCUGUUACACAAAGGUGUUGAAGGAACUGGAAGUACAACAUGGGGAAGAAAAUCUACAAAAUGCAGAAAGAUAUGAAGAAGGAAACAAGCCAUAAUGGUCCUCUUACCACCCAGAGAUAACCAUUUGCAUGCCGGUGUACAUUCUCUCAGUGUUCUUUCUGUAUGUAUGUGUGUGCAAGUAUGGAAGAGCAUGUGUGCUUGUGUUAUAUAUAUCUAUCUACAGGUGAUUAAAAAAUAAUUUAACAAAUCACAAUAUUCAGUUAUACCGUGUAACUUCUACUCAUAAGCAUAUGUCAAAAACUUUAUGUUAGUACCACUUUUUUGAUUAUAUGUUCAUAUGUAAUUUAGUUAUGGAACAAUUCAUUUUUAUAAGUAUCCAUUUCUUCUGAAUAAUUUUAUAUUUUAAAAAGAUCUAUUGUAUAUACAGUUUAUAUUCUGAUCUUUUCACUUACCAUUGUAUCAUGGCUGUUUUUCCAUGUCAUUAAAUAUCAUAUGAAAAGUACAGUCUCCCCAUCUACAGUCCCUGGAAGGGACAACCUUCAUUACCACAUGACCCUGCUCACCUCUCAAUGCUUUUAGUCAUAGCUGAUAGGACCAGAGCUAGGCACCUGACACAUAGGGCCAAAAACCAUAAAUCCAACUACGGCAAUUAAUUAGUCGCUCUCAAGAAUUUAGUUGGAGGGACACAGGCUGUGAUGAACAUCUUGCUCAUAAAUUUUUGUGUAUGAUUAUUCCUUAGGGCACAUUCCUAGAAGGUCAAUUACCUAGUCAAAUGAUUGGCAACAUUAAAUAUCUUGAUAGAUUUUGCCAAGUUGCUCUCCAGGAAAGUUGUAUGCACAUCUACAUGCAUUGUAAAAUGCCUUGCCGAUGUCCACUUUUCAAUUUGCAUUAGGAGAGAGAUGUUAAUUUAUUUGAAAGGUCAUACAUUAACAUAGUUCGAUAAAAAAGUAGUAAUGAAAGCCCACAAAGGGGGCUUAGUCAGGCUGUGUGUUUCUCUGUAUUGAUCUGUGCACAUUUUUAAAAAACUUUAAUGGAGCCCAAGUAGUUUGAAAGGUCAGCUUCAAGCAGUUGCCAUGGGACCUAGUGGAUGGAGUCUGUGGCACUAGCAAGAAAGAAAUUGAGUGUGAAGAUGCCAUAGGAAGGCGGCAGACAGGUUUUGAUGGGUAUGUUGGGCGAAUAAGGAGGCAGUAGCCAUCAGCUUUCUUUGAGCUACUCUUUGCCUCUCUCCCAUAGUUGGAAGUACCAAAGGAUAGUCUGUUUCCCUCACAACACUUAGCAAAGGUUUUUCCAUUUUGUAGCUGAGAAGAAAUAAUGAGAUAUUUGAAAGGGAAGAGGAUUCUGCUGACAUGGUCAAAGGCCUGAGCACCCUCGUUCAUGUCUAGUGUAGAAUGGAAGCAAAGGUUUUCUGAAUACUGAUAUGGUGUCCUCCAAUUAUGGUCCAUAGAUUAUAAGCUAAGACUGGAUUUUGUAUUUUUAAAUAAGUGAAAAAAUAAAAGAAGAUCUAUUGUAUGAUACAUGAAAGUUUAAUGGCAUUCAAAUUUCAGCAUGCAUCAGUAAAGUAACUGAACAGUUGAAUAGUUGUGACAGAGAUCGUAUGGUCCACGAAGCCUAAAUAUUUGCUAUCUGGCCCUUUACAGACAUAGUCAGCCCACUCCUGUGAGGGUAGAGUAGCUUCCAUUUAUUGAGCACUUACUGUGUGCUCAAGAAGCGAUUUCUAAUAUAGAAAUAAUUUUACAUGCAUUUCCUCAAUUUUCACAACUCUUCCUGCUGGAUGAUAAACUGAGACACAUUAAAAAAAUUAAAGAGUUUGAGCAAAAAUAAAUUCAAAUUGAGCAGCAUCCAAUCUAGCAGAUAGAAAGGAGCUCUAGGAGGUGCGCAAAAUGAAAGACCUUUAUAGGCAUGAGGGAGCAGGAACAAGGAAGUUACACUGGCAAAAAAGCAGAUGGGUUAAUACUUUCCUUUAGGGACUGGCAGAGUCUGUUAGGCAGACUACCUAAGUAGUGCUGAUCAGGUGGUUCCUGACUGACUCGUUUAAGACUCAAUUUCUGGGAGAGCUGAAGCUGUAAUUAGGUUAAGUCUUAGAUUAGGGACUUAGCAUAAGUGACUCCAUUUGGGGUAUGCUGUGGUGUUUCUAACACAUGAAAUAGUGGAUAUAUUAUUUAUCUACAUUUUACAUCUAGGAAAAGUGAGGGUUGAAGAUGUUUUCCAUGCCUGGAAAAAUGGUAGAGCUGAGUUUCAAAGCCAGGUAUCUAACCAGAGAAACUGAAAGUUUAAUUCUUUUACCUAAGAGUGGUCAAUGGACAUCUUUCUAUAAUGUAUAUUAGAUUGUACUGUCUUCUCUGAUCACUGUAUCAUGCUGAACCUGCAGCUGGUAUGGAAGAGGAAGGAACUGGAAGAUAUCUGGUAUAG